UCACUGACUCAUGUGGGUUUAACCCUUAGAGUACUCUUGUAUCCCGUUGUACAAAUUAUAUUACAACAGACUUGUCACAUUUGUAAAUACCGCACGUAGUUAUUUUGAUUUGAUUGUCGUAUUAGUGUCGAUUCUAGUCCCAAUGCACGUACAUUGGGGCGGGCGGCCAGUGGUUCUGUUACGACUUGGUCGACUCCUCCUGUAGGGUAGGUCAAAUGUAAUUUUGAUGCAGCACGGGAUUGGGUAUGCAAUCGUUAUUUGAGAUUCCAACGGGCAUAUAGUCCAAUGCUAUAUCGGUUAGAGAGAGAGGAUGUUUCAUCGUUUAUUAGCUAAAGCAAUCGACAUUAGAGAAUCCUUUUCUUAGCUUAAUUCUCUUCAGUUGGACUGGGUUAUUGUGAAAUCGGAUUACUUAUUGGUUGUUGAAACACUAUUGUCUCCUCAUACUCUGGACACUUAGAUAUGAUUCUUCACGAUUGUUUUAUAUUGUGAUCAUCUGUUGGAUUGCUAUCCUUCCAAGGGACUUGCCGGGAUGCUAAUAAGGUAUCUCAAGCACUUGCUAAGGUAACCUUAUUACAUGCAAACCACACUGAAUGAAAUAUUCUCCCCACAAAUGUUCGCACUUUGAUAAUUAUUGAUUCUGAUUCUUUGAUGCAUCAUGGGGAUGAGGGACUUUGGAUUGGGUGCAGGGGGUAAACCUCUCACCAAAGUCUCUUGUGUAAGUGACUUUUAAUUAAUGGAUCUUGUUUACUUUAAGAAAAAAACAUUUUAAAUUAUUAAGGUAAGUACCCAAAUUUACCCGGGCCCAUUAAUACCCAGCCUACCCUAGCCCAAACCACCAGCAGAAAAAAAAACAAGGAAGCAGCAAACCCUAGGUGCCUCCACUUGCACCGCCUCUCCUCCACCUGCUCUCAUCACCUCCUUGAAGACCUACAAACAUGAAGGAAGCAGCAACAGAAGCUGAAACGCAGCAAACAGUAACAAAACAGCAAUAGGACUUUACAUAAUCGGCUAUAAAGAGCCAUUCAUUUUCAAUGUAAAAAGGGGGGGAGAACGGUUUGUAUUUUGAAAGGGGGGAUUUUGGAAAUAAAAAAACCAUUGUAUAAAACACAAAAAAGAGCAAUCGAAAAGGGGGAAAUCAAGGUGUUCCUUCAUUCUGUUUUUUUGUUAUUUCCUUUGCAAGUUCAUUUCCGAAUAUAGUACAUACAUAUAGAUAUUAAAAGAAAACACACACACACAAAAAAAAAGGUUACCUUUUUGAGGUCGGGGAAGGGAACCUACCCGCGGUUUCGGCCAUCGGAGACCCUUUCAACGGCAUGGAUUUGGACCAAGGGACGCCUCUCGUCUCCUUUGUUCCCGAGCCAUGAGCCACGAUAGGUGGAGGCGCAUGGGACACCGAUGAAACCUAUGAUCGGCCAAGGAGAGAAGCAAAAGGGACGAUUGAAUGAGGAGCCCUUUUUUUUUGGUUCAGCCGAAUGAGAAGGGAAGGAAGUUUUGUUUUGUUUUGAUUUCUUUUUAAGUGAUUGAGUGUUUAGUUUAGGGUUUCUUAAUUUUGUUUUUGUAGAGAACAUGAAACGGUGCCGCAUAGGCCAAGACCAGUGUGUUUCGCCCUAAUGGGUUAUUUUCAGAUCUAGUCCCUCCGAUAUUUCGCCUUCCUUUAAUUCAAUCCUAUUCAUUUCUUUUAUUUUUCUUGAUUUUGCCCCAUGUAUUUUGCCC
rnacentral:lncRNA from 1 species